rnacentral:rRNA from 1 species
GACGAACGCUGGCGGCGUGCUUAACACAUGCAAGUCGAACGGAAAGGCCCUGCUUUUGUGGGUUGCUCGAUUGGCGAACGGGUGAGUAACACGUGAGUAACCUGCCCUUGACUUUGUGAUAACUUCAGGAAACUGGGGCUAAUACCGGAUAGGAGCUCCUGCUGCAUGGUGGGCGUUGGAAAGUUUCGGCGGUUGGGGAUGGACUCGCGGCUUAUCAGCUUGUUUGUGGGGUAGUGGCUUACCAAGGCUUUGACGGGUAGCCGGCCUGAGAGGGGUACCGGCCACAUUGGGACUGAGAUACGGACCAGAAUCCUACGGGAGGCAGCAGUGGGGAAUAUUGCACAAUGGGCGGACGCCUGAUGCAGAAACGCCGCGUGCGGGAUGACGGCCUUCGAGUUGUAAACCGCUUUCGCCUGUGACGAAGAGUGAGUGACGGUAAUGGGUAAAGAAGCAACGGCUAACUACGUG